GACGAAGGGGGCUAGCGUUGUUCGGAAUUACUGGGCGUAAAGCGAGUGUAGGCGGUUGCCCAAGUCAGGUGUGAAAGCCUUGAGCUCAACUCAAGAAAUGCACUUGGUACUGGGUGGCUAGAGGACCGGAGAGGAUAGUGGAAUUCCCAGUGUAGUGGUGAAAUACGUAGAGAUGUGGAGGAACACCGAUGGCGAAGGCAGCCCCCUGGGCUAACACUGACGCUCAUGCACGAAAGCGUGGGGAGCAAACAGG
rnacentral:rRNA from 1 species